GGUGGUUUUGUUAGGAGCAGUAUAAAUGCAGUGGUUCUGAGAAUGUCUUCUGGAGACAGGCUGCCUUCACUUCAAAUUCCUGCUUUCAAAUCCUCCUUUGCUGGCUGAGUGACCCUGGACAGGUGACUUAACGUCUUUGUGCAUCUCACAUGGAAGAUGAAGGUGAUGGUGUGACCUCGGCCUGAGGUCCUGCAGUUCAGCCUGCAAGGGGAAACGGAGUUUGUGUUUCCUUACCUGCCAGUCCACUCCAAGGAGCCAAGAAGGCCUCCUCUCACCCCCUCACCCCCGGCUCGUCCUCCAAACUGAGCCCCUCAAAGACUGCGGUAUUUUUCAGUCCUUCGUAACCGCUCUCAGCCCCAAAAUAUGAAAAUGAGAGCGAUGGUCCUGAGCGCCUGGAGUGAUAUCUUAGUUCGCUCCCAAGACCCAUCAGGAACCUCAUCCCAAGUGCUCUGAAGAGCAGGAGAAAACAUUUUUAACUAAGGCAUCUUCUCCUUGGGGCAGGGUCCUGACAGGAGAAGGGGGAGCCCCACCGUCAGAGACUCGCCCCUCAGAGCUGCUCAGGUUCCUCUUCCCCGUGGCCCUGAAGGAGCUCGGCUGGGGCGACCCAGGAUCAGAACCCGCGCUCCCAGCCCGCGCGCUUGAAGACGCCGCCGCGCUGAUCUCUCUUUCCGGCUGAGAUCUUGGGACGAAAGAAUGAGAUUUCCCAGAGUCAGGUUCCAAAGCUUAGUGAAACAGCAACUUUUAGGGCCCGCAGUAGAGACGUAGGAGCUAGAAAUUCGGCAUAAAAAUC